UCGGAGAAAAUCCUUGUCAUCGAUGGAUACUCUAUUGGCCUGAAGAAAGCUUCCGUCCUUGCCGACACAGUCCUACUUCUGGAUGUAACAGAAGACGGUACUAUUGAGCGAUAUGUUCAAGGUGCACACUACGAAAGAGACUUGUUUGAAGAUGUGAACAAACAAGCAUCCCUGAUCCUGAAGCCCGUAGGGAGAGGCGAUUAUCACAUUACAGGGAUGGUAAAUUUCACUCAUAGAAUUGAGCCUUGCCGAAUUUGCGAACGAUCGUCUCAAGAAGUACUGGCUCACCAAAUAUCAAUAAUUGACACCCCAACUGGCACCUAUGAUCUUGUGGAUAAU
rnacentral:lncRNA from 1 species